AUUGAACGCUGGCGGCAUGCCUUACACAUGCAAGUCGAACGGCAGCACGGGAGCAAUCCUGGUGGCGAGUGGCGAACGGAUGAGUAAAGUAUCGGAACGUGCCCAGUCGUGGGGGAUAACGUAGCGAAAGUUACGCUAAUACCGCAUACGAUCUAUGGAUGAAAGCGGGGGAUCGCAAGACCUCGCGCGAUUGGAGCGGCCGAUAUCAGAUUAGGUAGUUGGUGGGGUAAAGGCUCACCAAGCCGACGAUCUGUAGCUGGUCUGAGAGGACGACCAGCACCACUGGGACUGAGACACGGCCCAGACUCCUACGGGAGGCAGCAGUGGGGAAUUUUGGACAAUGGGCGAAAGCCUGAUCCAGCCAUGCCGCGUGCAGGAUGAAGGCCUUCGGGUUGUAAACUGCUUUUGUACGGAACGAAAAGGUUUGGCCUAAUAAGCUGAGCUCAUGACGGUACCGUAAGAAUAAGCACCGGCUAACUACGUGCCAGCCGCCGCGGUAA
rnacentral:rRNA from 1 species